rnacentral:rRNA from 1 species
GACGAACGCUGGCGGCGUGCCUAAUACAUGCAAGUUGAGCGCUGAAGGUUUGUACUUGUACCAACUGGUUGAGCAGCUAACGGGUGAGUAACGCGUGGGGAAUCUGCCUUUUAUCGGGGGACAACAUUUGGAAACGAAUUCUAAUACCGCAUAAUAACUUUAAACACAAGUUUUAAGUUUGAAAGAUGCAAUUUCAUCACUCAAAGAUGAUCCCGCGUUGUAUUAGCUAGUUGGUGAGGUAAAGGCUCACCAAGGCGAUGAUACAUAGGCGACCUGAGAGGGUGAUCGGCCAAAAUGGGAAUGGGAAAAGGCCCAAAAACCUAAGGGGGGCAGCAGUAGGGAAACAUGGGAAAAGGAGGGAAGGCUGACCGAGCAAAGCCGAGGGAGUGAAGAAGGGUUUCGGGUCGUAAAACUCUGUUGGUAGAGAAGAAAGAUGGUGAGAGUGGAAAGCUCAUGAAGUGACGGUAACUAACCAGAAAGGGACGGCUAACUACGUG